rnacentral:rRNA from 1 species
CCCAGACUCCUACGGGAGGCAGCAGUGGGGAAUAUUGCACAAUGGGGGAAACCCUGAUGCAGCAACGCCGCGUGAGUGAAGAAGUAUUUCGGUAUGUAAAGCUCUAUCAGCAGGGAGGAAGAAAGACGGUACCUGACUAAGAAGCCCCGGCUAACUACGUGCCAGCAGCCGCGGUAAUACGUAGGUGGCGAGCGUUAUCCGGAAUGAUUGGGCGUAAAGGGUGCGCAGGCGGUCCUGCAAGUCUGGAGUGAAACGCAUGAGCUCAACUCAUGCAUGGCUUUGGAAACUGGAGGACUGGAGAGCAGGAGAGGGCGGUGGAACUCCAUGUGUAGCGGUAAAAUGCGUAGAUAUAUGGAAGAACACCAGUGGCGAAGGCGGCCUGCUGGACUGCGACUGACGUUGAGGCCCGAAAGCGUGGGGAGCAAACAGGAUUAGAUACCCCAGUAA